rnacentral:rRNA from 1 species
GUGCCAGCAGCCGCGGUAAUACGUAGGUGGCAAGCGUUAUCCGGAAUUAUUGGGCGUAAAGCGCGCGUAGGCGGUUUUUUAAGUCUGAUGUGAAAGCCCACGGCUCAACCGUGGAGGGUCAUUGGAAACUGGAAAACUUGAGUGCAGAAGAGGAAAGUGGAAUUCCAUGUGUAGCGGUGAAAUGCGCAGAGAUAUGGAGGAACACCAGUGGCGAAGGCGACUUUCUGNGUCUGUAACUGACGCUGAUGUGCGAAAGCGUGGGGAUCAAACAGGAUUAGAU